UGGAUGGUCCCAGGCUGUCUGUCAUGCUCAAACUCCGGUAAGUAGACUCACACCUGUAUGAGAAAAUUAAGACCAAAGAAGUUAAAGACCUAGAACGCUAUGUGAGACAAUAACCCUUCCUGUUGAACACAUGCAAGGCAUGAUUGUGACUAUUUUUCUAAAAUUAACCUAUGUGGCUAAAAGUGGAUAAAAAUGCAGGAUUUGGCUAAGACCCCGCGAAGCGAAGAACCUAAGACUCACUAGGAAGACCGGACCCUAUGUGGGUUGCCUACGUAUCACGCCCCGAAAGACGAGAAUCAGAUAUGCAUAGUUCGGGCAGAUUGGAUACGGGCGAGAAUUAAAAAAAGCACUGAUUUGAAGAAAAAUAUAUUUUUUUGUCUUUUUUUUGAAAAAUAAUGAAACAUGUAAACUCUUUUUGGAUUUUCUUUUCCUUUUAUUUUGAUUUUUGGAAAAUGAUGGGAAAGUGCAAAAUCUUUUUGAAUUUUUUCAUUUUCCUUUUUUUUGUUCUUAAAAAAAUGUAAAAGAAAAACAUAAUUGGGCCCUGCUUGAUUUAUUUUCACGUUUCACCCUCUUUUCUUUCUCAUUUACCCUCAAUCAUCAUUGGUCCGACAAAUGACCCUUUUUACCCUUGAAGAUUGCAAACAUGUGGCACAUAGGAUGCAUCGGGAUGAUCUUUUAUUUUUGGGUACACUUGUCCUAGACGGACCCACCCCUGUGUUGAGUCCCCAAAGUCAAAUGUACGUGAUGCAAACAAACGUUCCUACUAGGGAUCCGGCAUAAGAUUAUAUUAUUCUAAGUUUAAACCUGGGGUUGUGUUCUUGACCUGGCUUACACGAGCGGACAACUCAAGCCGAAGAGGGGGCAAUGUACCGGGAGCACGAAAUUCUAUCCGGCCUUGAUACUAGCCCAGCCUCGUUCUAUUUGGUAUAAAUUCUAACAAAAGUACGUGUGCACCAUAUUUUCAGAAAACUCAAAAGGGAGGCGUAAAAAGGCUUUUUAAUAUAGUUCAAAUAAUAUCAAAGCGGUAAAUAAACGAUAAUUAGUACAUUAGGUCCACAAAUACAGUAAUAUCAACAAAUAAUAAAGCCAAGAAUAGAUCAUAUUAGCAAGCUCGAAUUCUUGAACCUAGAACCAGAAGUUUGGGGGUGUGUUCCCCAGCAGAGCAGCCAGAGUUGUCACACCUCCUUUUUACUACCCCCGGAAAGGGGUAUAAGAGAGUUUUUCCAAUUUAAGUAACAAUCGAAAUGGGAUUAUUUAUAUCAAAUUCAGAGUUGCCACUUGGGAUAAUUUAUGGUGUCCCAAGUCACUGGUUUAAAAUCCCGAAUCGAGGAAGUUUGACUCUAUUUAAGGUCUGCGAACAAAGAAAUUCAGGUAAGGAAUUCUGUUAACCCAAGAGAAGGUAUCAGGCAUUCUCGGGUUCCGUGGUUUUAGCACGGUCUCUUUGAUUAUACCUGGCUUAUUAAAUUGUCUAAUUACUUAUUUUAGAACCUAUGUACAUUUUUCUUCUUUUAAUUAAGCAAUUAUCAUAAAACGAGUCACGCGUACGUGUACUCAUUUCAUUCGGUGCGUCAAGAAUCAUGUCACGUGUACGUGUGCACAAUUAAUCACGCUUUGUUGAUAUUAAGAAAGUUUGGCCGAAGUUGUGCGAACGCAUAUCUCGAUUUAUUUUGAAAAUCAUAAUUAUGUCAUGCAAACGUAUAAACAAUCACCAUUUAUUUUUUGAUUUUAGUACAAUCCACGCUUGUCCUAUCAAUGCCCAAUAAAUAAAAUGAAUCAUAGAAUGAAUCUAGCUUAUUGAUAUGUUUCAGAAAACUUUACUAGCAUCAUCCAUCUGUUUUUAUGACAAACUUGUGCUUGAUUAUCAAAAUUUAUACUUUUAAGUCCCCACCUUUCGCCUUCCUGGUACAGUCAUUAAUUCUUGAAGAGAAAUUGAAUGUACGCGGUAUAGAUUUGAACCAAUACAUAAAGUAGUUCAAUGAAAAUUCUUUUAAAGCCACAUCGAAUAGAACCCAACACUUAAAGUCCAAAAUUACUUUUAAAGUUACUACUAAUACCAUUCCAUUAUUCAAUCUUUCCUAUGAAUUCUGCUUUUCAUUAAACCAAACCUAAAUCAAUCAUGGCUAGACCAAAUUAUAAAAAUACUACUGUAAAAACAAAUUAUGAUGAACAAACAUUGAAGUAAGUAUACUAGAAGAUAUCAAUAUGAGGAGCAUUAUUUUAUUCCACUCAGAGAGGCAUAAAAACUCAUUAAUCAGAAAGAGGAAAAGAUAUGGACCUCAAAAAUCUUUGACUGAACGGAUUAAACAACAAAACGGAGAACACGACCUUGAUCGCGAGAUCGAAACCCGAGAGGCAACCUCACUGACUCGAACUCCCUAAAAAAUAAACGAGAAGGUGAUGAGAAGAAGAAAGCAGAGCAGCAGUGGAAUGGAGCAGUCCCUGUCGGAUUUGACCAGCUCGCCGACGAGAUAGAAUCUGACGAGAGCGAAACGAGGAAACGAGGGAGGAGGCGAUUCUCUGAGAUUUUGUUCCCUUUUCCCUGCUUCUGAGUGUCUGCAUUGCUGGUUUUUGGAGAAAGAAGAAGGUGUUGAUAUGGGUCAUUCAUGGCUGCGUUUUCAUGGUUUUAUGCUAUAUUGCGACUGAAGUUUGCUGAGUUUUGAUGGAGGCUUCAAGGUGUUUAAGGGUAUUUGAGGUGGUGGAGAAGAUGGAGAUGAGAUGGGGUAGGGUGGCUGAUGGCGAGGCGUGGCCAGUGGUGAAGCUGAGAGAAGCAGCUACCUUCUUUAUUUAAGGGAGAUGAGAAGAAAACUUUUGUGAAUCGCCGUUCUUCUCUGCUAAAGAAGAUGUCCAGCUACUGUGAGUGUGUUUUGUGCUAAGAAAAAGCCAUGGAAAUGGCUGCUUUCCUUAGAGAAGAAGCAAAUGAUUCGAUCGGGGGUGGGUCAUUUUUUGUUGUAAACGGCGGAAG
rnacentral:lncRNA from 1 species